UAUUACUCAAACCUAGCCGCCCCUAAUUCCAAAAAUUCUCUCAAAGGUCUGCCAAGGUCCGCCACCUACCACCCUUCCUCCGCCGAUCGAAAAUCGUUUCCGGCGGCGCACCACCAUCAAACAGCUUCAGAAUAUCACCCCACACUCCUCAUCUCACCCCCAAUCCUUAAUCCAACCUCAUUUUCUCGAAAAGAUUCUUUCAUUUCUUCAAUUUGAAGAUCUCAGAUUUAAAAAUUCGAUCUUUUUGGCCCCUUUCCAAAUUUCCUUCAAUCCAGCCUCCUUUUCACCCAAAUCUUACACUAACUGACGGGUUGGGGAGAGACUUGUCUCUUGGUGUCACCUUUUCGCUUUAAUUCCAGUGGCCAGAAUAUCGUUGACCACUGUUGACAGGCCAGAACUACCUUGAAACUCCGCCUUUUUAUUUCUUUGCAUGUGAUGAGAAUUGUGACAUAUAGCACUGGUUGUUUGAAGAAAUUCCGGCCAGUGCUCAUGUUACAAUCACCAUUACUUGCCGAAGUCUUUGCUCGUCAGAGUUUGCAUUGCUCGUCGGAGUUUGCAUCUAGUCGUUCCAUUUACUGGAAUUUUCUGGCAAAAUUGUAACGACCCGACUGGUCGUUUUGAGCUCUAGCGCAUUGUUCGGCAGUUUGAGGCCUUGAGCAGCUUCACUUCAUGUUUUAUGACUUGUACGCAUAGUCGAAAUUGAAGUUCGUAGUUGAUUCAGAUGGAAAAUUCUCAAUUCGGAAGCUUUAAGUUGGAAUAGUAGACAACGGUUGACUUUUAAGUAAACGACCUAGGAAUCAGUAUUUGAAGGUUUUUCAAUAGGUUUGUAUGAUGAUUUUGGACUUGGUCGUAUGUUCGGGUUGAGUAUCGGGUGGCCUGGGAGCAUUUCAACGUUUAUUGUGAAAAGUUAGCAUUUUGAAGGUUUUAGAAUUUUUGUACUUUGGUUAGAAGUGGAAUUUGGUGUUAUCGAUGUCCGUUUGGGAUUCCGAGCCUUGGAAUAGGUUCGUAUCAUGAUUUUUGAUUUGCACGUAAAGUUUGACGUCAUUCCAGAAUGUUCGUACGCGUUCAGCGAAGUUUGAAAGUUGAAAGAAGGAUCUUGAUUGAAGGAUCUUAAUCGUCGAUUCAUAGUUUGGAUGUUGUUAGGUGUGAUUUGAGGCCUCGAGUAUGUUUGUGUUAUUUUUUGGGAGUGGUUGGUGUGAUUGGAUGGGGUCCCGGGGAGCCUCGGGUGUAUUUUAGAUGGGUUUGGGUUGUGUCGCGCUCCUAUUUGAUGUUUCAGUGUCGUUUCUUUGGGCAUAAAGGGUACCAUAUUGAGAAAAUGACCUUUGAUUUGUGAUUUGAUUAAAUCAUUAAAUCCGUAUCGCAAUUACGGAACCAUAGCAACAAGAAUCAUCGAAUUUCGAUGUUGUACGAGAAAGUUAUGUCCAUUUUCGUGUUGGAAAAGAUUGUUCCCAUAGGUAUUAAAUUGUUAUGUGCUACUAGUUAUGGGUGCUACGUACACACGAGGUGACGAGAGUUCGUACGUAGCUAAAAACAUGUUUGUGUCCGGGUAGACUUUGG
rnacentral:lncRNA from 1 species